GGAAAAAUUUAUUGCUAUUAGAUGAGCCUAUAUUAGAUUAGCUAGUUGGUGGAGUAAUAGCCUACCAAGGCAAUGAUCUAUAGCUGAUCUGAGAGGAUGAUCAGCCACACUGGAACUGAGAUACGGUCCAGACUCCUACGGGAGGCAGCAGUGGGGAAUAUUGGACAAUGGGCGAAAGCCUGAUCCAGCCAUGCCGCAUGAGUGAAGAAGGCCUUUGGGUUGUAAAGCUCUUUUAGUGAGGAAGAUAAUGACGGUACUCACAGAAGAAGUCCUGGCUAACUCCGUGCCAGCAGCCGCGGUAAUACGGAGAGGGCUAGCGUUAUUCGGAAUUAUUGGGCGUAAAGGGCGCGUAGGCUGAUUAAUAAGUUAAAAGUGAAAUCCCGAGGCUUAACCUUGGAAUUGCUUUUAAAACUAUUAAUCUAGAGAUUGAAAGAGGAUAGAGGAAUUCCUGAUGUAGAGGUAAAAUUCGUAAAUAUUAGGAGGAACACCAGUGGCGAAGGCGUCUAUCUGGUUCAAAUCUGACGCUGAAGCGCGAAGGCGUGGGGAGCAAACAGGAUUAGAUACCCUGGUAGUCCACGCUGUAAACGAUGAAUGUUAAAUAUGGGAAGUUUA
rnacentral:rRNA from 1 species